rnacentral:rRNA from 1 species
UGGGGAAUCUUGGUCAAUGGGCGCAAGCCUGAUCCAGCCAUGCCGCGUGAGUGAAGAAGGCCUUAGGGUUGUAAAGCUCUUUUGGCAGGGACGAUAAUGACGGUACCUGCAGAAUAAGCCCCGGCAAACUUCGUGCCAGCAGCCGCGGUAAUACGAAGGGGGCUAGCGUUGUUCGGAUUUACUGGGCGUAAAGCGCACGUAGGCGGAUUGUUAAGUCAGGGGUGAAAUCCCGGAGCUCAACUCCGGAACUGCCUUUGAUACUGGCAAUCUUGAGGCUGGAAGAGGUUGGUAGAAUUCCCAGUGUAGAGGUGAAAUUCGUAGAUAUUGGGAAGAAUACCAGUGGCGAAGGCGGCCAACUGGUCCAGAUCUGACGCUGAGGUGCGAAAGCGUGGGGAGCAAACA